UGGGCUGUGCCAGACAUCCUGGAGGUGUGCUGUCCCCUCUGUGAGGAAGCGAGGGUCACGGAGAAAUCAGGCCCACAUCAGGGCCCCCCCCCAGCUUACCGCACAGCCCUGCUGUUGGCCCCACAGCGUGGUACCUCACAGUUGUGUGUGCAGUUCUCACGGAAAGUUAAAUUAUGUGCAUGACAUGCUGUUUCAGAGGGACUUGAGACGACACGCUGGCAGAGGUCUGACGGGAUGGCACUGUUUGCGAAGGGCCACCUGGGAUGAGCCAGCACACGGGGACACCGACCUGGGGUAAGACGCGUGCCUGCUCCCAGCAUCCCGCUAGGAGAAAACCAGAAGGCUGAAAUUUUCCCUGAAAGCAUCUCAUUUAAAGAAUCUUAUCGUAUGAUACCGCAAACACACUGAUUCCUCGGAGCUCAGACGAGGGAGGGGAAGGGGGUGAACUCUGGGAAGGAACCUGAGAAUGAACCCGAUGGGCUUGGCCGCUUCGGACACCUGCCCCUGCAGGACCUGGGCGCUCUGGGAGGCCAGCAGGAGACGGCCGACGGUGACCCUGAGUUGUAACUAAAGAGUGGGAGAGUGGUAAAGUGAUGAACUGGGGGUCCCCCCGAGAGCCUACAUCCGCUGUCCCCCAGCCCUAUCCUUUGUCCCGUGAGUCCCCGAGGCUCCAACCUGCUCACCCUCCACAGAACAGGUGCAGAGCAGACACUGGGAAGCUGUUUACUCUUUGAGCUUCGCCCCAAGAUCCGUACUGAAAGCUGUACUGGGGUCUAGGUCCUCACCACCCCAGGCAAAAUGGUGUCACUAGCUCCCACCCUGCUCCAUGCAUCUCAGUCUCACACCUGCCCCGUGGCGGUCCCUCACCUGCCCCCCAUGCUCUCCCGCACCAGCUUGGGCCUCUCCCCUCUCCAGUCUUAGCUGCUAAUUCCUCCUCGCUCUUCUUCCCACUCUCUGUUGCUUUCCAGAAUGCCACACCUCCCUUCUUGUCCACUCUUAUCUGGCACUUAUACACCUUAAGUCUGGAGGAGAGCUAGAGAUUAUUUCAUUCAACCCUCGGUUUUCUGCCUGGACCCUGAGACCCUGAGAGAUUCGGGGGG
rnacentral:lncRNA from 1 species